UAAGGAAUAUUGGUCAAUGGACGCAAGUCUGAACCAGCCAUGCCGCGUGAAGGAUGAAGGUCCUCUGGAUUGUAAACUUCUUUUAUAUGGGACGAAACCCGGGAAUUCCUUCCCGAUUGACGGUACCAUAGGAAUAAGCACCGGCUAACUCCGUGCCAGCAGCCGCGGUAAUACGGAGGGUGCAAGCGUUAUCCGGAUUCACUGGGUUUAAAGGGUGCGUAGGAGGGUAGGUAAGUCAGUGGUGAAAUCUUCGAGCUUAACUCGGAAACUGCCUUUGAUACUAUCUAUCUUGAAUAUUGUGGAGGUAAGCGGAAUAUGUCAUGUAGCGGUGAAAUGCUUAGAUAUGACAUAGAACACCUAUUGCGAAGGCAGCUUACUACGCAUAUAUUGACGCUGAGGCACGAAAGCGUGGGGAUCAAACA
rnacentral:rRNA from 1 species